rnacentral:rRNA from 1 species
GAAAGAUUCAUCGGAAGAGGAUGGGCAUGCGGCGCAUUAGCUAGACGGCGGGGUAACGGCCCACCGUGGCGACGAUGCGUAGGGGUUCUGAGAGGAAGGUCCCCCACACUGGUACUGAGACACGGACCAGACUCCUACGGGAGGCAGCAGUGAGGAAUAUUGGUCAAUGGGAGAGAUCCUGAACCAGCCAAGCCGCGUGAGGGAAGACGGCCCUAUGGGUUGUAAACCUCUUUUGUCGGAGAACAAAACCCGGGACGAGUCCCGGACUGCGUGUAUCCGAAGAAAAAGCAUCGGCUAACUCCGUGCCAGCAGCCGCGGUAAUACGGAGGAUGCGAGCGUUAUCCGGAUUUAUUGGGUUUAAAGGGUGCGUAGGCGGUCCGUUAAGUCAGCGGUAAAAUUGCGGGGCUCAACCCCGUCGAGCCGUUGAAACUGGCAGACUUGAGUUGGCGAGAAGUACGCGGAAUGCGCGGUGUAGCGGUGAAAUGCAUAGAUAUCGCGCAGAACUCCGAUUGCGAAGGCAGCGUACCGGCGCCACACUGACGCUGAGGCACGAAAGCGUGGGGAUCGAACAGGAUUAGAUACCCUGGUAGUCCACGCAGUAAACGAUGAAUGCUGGUUGUCCGGGUCGAAUGAGAUCUGGGCGGCGA